rnacentral:tRNA from 1 species
GCCCCUGUAGCUCAGCUGGAUAGAGUACUGGCCUCCGAAGCCGGGAGCAGAGGUUCGAAUCCUCUCGGGGGCGCCA